rnacentral:rRNA from 1 species
CGGGAUAAUAAGUCAGUGGUGAAAGUUUGUGGCUCAACCAUAAAAUUGCCAUUGAUACUGUUAUUCUUGAGUUAUUGUGAAGUGGUUAGAAUGUGUAGUGUAGCGGUGAAAUGCAUAGAUAUUACACAGAAUACCAAUUGCGAAGGCAGAUCACUAACAAUGAACUGACGCUGAUGGACGAAAGCGUAGGUAGCGAACAGGAUUAGAUACCCUGGUAGUCUACGCAGUAAACGAUGGUUACUAGCUGUUUGGCAUAAUUGAGUGCUGAGUGGUUAAGCGAAAGUGAUAAGUAACCCACCUGGGGAGUACGUUCGCAAGAAUGAAACUCAAAGGAAUUGACGGGGGCCCGCGCAAGCGGUGGAGCAUGUGGUUUAAUUCGAUGAUACGCGAGGAACCUUACCAGGGCUUAAAUGCAGUCUGACAGGGGUGGAAACACCUUUUUCUUCGGACAGAUUGCAAGGUGCUGCAUGGUUGUCGUCAGCUCGUGCCGUGAGGUGUCAGGUUAAGUCCUAUAACGAGCGCAACCCCUAUGGUUAGUUGCUAGCAGGUAAUGCUGAGAACUCUAGCCAGACUGCCGGUGUAAACCGCGAGGAAGGUGGGGAUGACGUCAAAUCAUCACGGCCCUUACGUCCUGGGCUACACACGUGCUACAAUGGUAUGUACAAUGAGCAGCCACCACGGGAGUGGGCGCAAAUCUCAAAAGCAUAUCACAGUUCGGAUCGGAGUCUGCAACUGGACUCCGGAAGCGGAAUCGCUAGU